UACAGAGGGUGCGAGCGUUAAUCGGAAUUACUGGGCGUAAAGCGUGCGUAGACGGCUAUCUAAGUCGGGUGUGAAAGCCCCGGGCUCAACCUGGGAAUUGCAUUCGAGACUGAAUAGCUAGGGUGCGGUAGAGGGAAGCGGAAUUUCCGGUGUAGCGGUGAAAUGCGUAGAUAUCAGGAGGAACACCGGUGGCGAAGGCGGGUCUCUGGGCCGAUACUGACGCUGAGGAGCGAAAGCGUGGGGAGCGAACAGG
rnacentral:rRNA from 1 species